rnacentral:rRNA from 2 species
AUAAUGCAGUCGACGAACUCUGGUAUUGAUUGGUGCUUGCAUCAUGAUUUACAUUUGAGUGAGUGGCGAACUGGUGAGUAACACGUGGGAAACCUGCCCAGAAGCGGGGGAUAACACCUGGAAACAGAUGCUAAUACCGCAUAACAACUUGGACCGCAUGGUCCGAGUUUGAAAGAUGGCUUCGGCUAUCACUUUUGGAUGGUCCCGCGGCGUAUUAGCUAGAUGGUGGGGUAACGGCUCACCAUGGCAAUGAUACGUAGCCGACCUGAGAGGGUAAUCGGCCACAUUGGGACUGAGACACGGCCCAAACUCCUACGGGAGGCAGCAGUAGGGAAUCUUCCACAAUGGACGAAAGUCUGAUGGAGCAACGCCGCGUGAGUGAAGAAGGGUUUCGGCUCGUAAAACUCUGUUGUUAAAGAAGAACAUAUCUGAGAGUAACUGUUCAGGUAUUGACGGUAUUUAACCAGAAAGCCACGGCUAACUACGUGCCAGCAGCCGCGGUAAUACGUAGGUGGCAAGCGUUGUCCGGAUUUAUUGGGCGUAAAGCGAGCGCAGGCGGUUUUUUAAGUCUGAUGUGAAAGCCUUCGGCUCAACCGAAGAAGUGCAUCGGAAACUGGGAAACUUGAGUGCAGAAGAGGACAGUGGAACUCCAUGUGUAGCGGUGAAAUGCGUAGAUAUAUGGAAGAACACCAGUGGCGAAGGCGGCUGUCUGGUCUGUAACUGACGCUGAGGCUCGAAAGUAUGGGUAGCAAACAGGAUUAGAUACCCUGGUAGUCCAUACCGUAAACGAUGAAUGCUAAGUGUUGGAGGGUUUCCGCCCUUCAGUGCUGCAGCUAACGCAUUAAGCAUUCCGCCUGGGGAGUACGGCCGCAAGGCUGAAACUCAAAGGAAUUGACGGGGGCCCGCACAAGCGGUGGAGCAUGUGGUUUAAUUCGAAGCUACGCGAAGAACCUUACCAGGUCUUGACAUACUAUGCAAAUCUAAGAGAUUAGACGUUCCCUUCGGGGACAUGGAUACAGGUGGUGCAUGGUUGUCGUCAGCUCGUGUCGUGAGAUGUUGGGUUAAGUCCCGCAACGAGCGCAACCCUUAUUAUCAGUUGCCAGCAUUAAGUUGGGCACUCUGGUGAGACUGCCGGUGACAAACCGGAGGAAGGUGGGGAUGACGUCAAAUCAUCAUGCCCCUUAUGACCUGGGCUACACACGUGCUACAAUGGAUGGUACAACGAGUUGCGAACUCGCGAGAGUAAGCUAAUCUCUUAAAGCCAUUCUCAGUUCGGAUUGUAGGCUGCAACUCGCCUACAUGAAGUCGGAAUCGCUAGUAAUCGCGGAUCAGCAUGCCGCGGUGAAUACGUUCCCGGGCCUUGUACACACCGCCCGUCACACCAUGAGAGUUUGUAACACCCAAAGUC